ensembl:lincRNA Gm30382 predicted gene, 30382
AGGCUAUAAACUUAGCUGUGCUCCAAGUUAGAAGCUUGUAUUUGAAAUGAAAAUCCUGCUCUCCUGAUAGAACACAAGGAGGAGGGGCGAGCUGCAUGUUUCCUGUGGCUGGCUACUUCCUCUAAACUCCACAACUCAUUCGAAAGACUAUGGAGCCUACAUAGUUUCUAAAGACAAACGAUGAAUUUCAAAUUUUUUCAGAGUUCUCGUGGAGAUUCUGUGGAGGUGCCCAGCAGGAUGGCAGAGCAGUUCUUAUUACAUUCUCAAGAAAGAACCGUCUCUGAGCAGUGACCAAUUGAACUGGAACAUGCUGGAUCUCUUCAAUGGGAUCUGUUCUUCAAAGAUGGAACCUGGAAAAGGAAGAAUGAGAAAUAUCUCAUCGAUUCUUUCUGUGGUGACCCUACAUUGACAUAAUAAGAUUUGGAUGACUUCAGUUGAAUAGAAUAAAUUUAAUGGAUUUUUUUCCAUUUAAU